rnacentral:rRNA from 1 species
CCUACGGGAGACAGCAGUGGGGAAUAUUGGGCAAUGGGCGAAAGCCUGACCCAGCAACGCCGCGUGAAGGAAGAAGGCUUUCGGGUUGUAAACUUCUUUUGACAGGGAAGAGCAGAAGACGGUACCUGACGAAUAAGCCACGGCUAACGACGUGCCAGCAGCCGCGGUAAUACGUAGGUGGCAAGCGUUGUCCGGAUUUACUGGGUGGAAAGGGCGUGUAGCCGGGGUGACAAGUCAGAUGUGAAAUCCGGCGGCGUAACCGCAGAACUGCAUUUGAAACUGUUGGUCUUGAGUACUGGAGAGGCAGCCGGACUUCCUCGUGUAGCGGUUACAUGCGUAGAUAUUAGGAGGAACCCCAGUGGCGCAGGCGGUCUGCUGGACGGCACCUGACGGUGAGGCGCGAACGCGUGGGGAGCAAACAGGAUUAGCUACCCCAGUAGUC